ensembl:snoRNA
UGGCGCUGAGGAGAGAAUUGCUGUUGAACUACAGUGAUAGUUUUAUACGCUAUUCUGAGCCAGCA